rnacentral:rRNA from 1 species
AACGAACGCUGGCGGCGUGCCUAAUACAUGCAAGUCGUACGGAAAGGCCCUUCGGGGUACUCGAGUGGCGGACGGCUGAGUAACGCGUGGGAACGUGCCCCAAAGUGAGGGAUAACGCACCGAAAGGUGUGCUAAUACCGCAUAUGGUCUUCGGAUUAAAGCUUCGGCGCUUUGGGAGCGGCCCGCGUACGAUUAGAUAGUUGGUGAGGUAAUGGUUCACCAAGUCGACGAUCGUUAGCUGGUCUGAGAGGAUGAUCAGCCAGACUGGGACUGAGACACGGCCCAGACUCCUACGGGAGGCAGCAGUAAGGAAUCUUCCACAAUGGGGGCAACCCUGAUGGAGCAACGCCGCGUGCAGGAUGAAGGUUUUCGGAUCGUAAACUGCUUUUAUAAGUGAAGAAUAUGACGGUAACUUAUGAAUAAGGAUCGGCUAACUACGUGCCAGCAGCCGCAGUAAUAC